rnacentral:rRNA from 2 species
UGGCUGUCGUCAGCUCGUGUCGUGAGAUGUUGGGUUAAGUCCCGUAACGAGCGCAACCCUUGUCCUUAGUUACCAGCACGUUAAGGUGGGCACUCUAAGGAGACUGCCGGUGACAAACCGGAGGAAGGUGGGGAUGACGUCAAGUCAUCAUGGCCCUUACGGCCUGGGCUACACACGUGCUACAAUGGUCGGUACAAAGGGUUGCCAAGCCGCGAGGUGGAGCUUAUCCAAUAAAACCGAUCGUAGUCCGGAUCGCAGUCUGCAACUCGACUGCGUGAAGUCGGAAUCGCUAGUAAUCGUGAAUCAGAAUGUCACGGUGAAUACGUUCCCGGGCCUUGUACACACCGCCGUACACACCAC